UACAGAGGUCUCAAGCGUUGUUCGGAAUCACUGGGCGUAAAGGGCGCGUAGGUGGCGCGGGUAGUCGUCGGUGAAAGCUCAGGGCUCAACCCUGAGUCGGCCGGUGAUACUCCCGUGCUUGAGUGUGGUAGAGGCCAAUGGAAUUCCGGGUGUAGCGGUGAAAUGCGUAGAUAUCUGUAGGAACACCCGUGGCGAAGGCGGCUCGCUGGACUGCAACUGACGCUGAGGAACGAAAGCUAGGGGAGCAAACAGG
rnacentral:rRNA from 1 species